UACGUAGGGUGCAAGCGUUAAUCGGAAUUACUGGGCGUAAAGCGUGCGCAGGCGGUCCGUUAAGACAGAUGUGAAAUCCCCGGGCUCAACCUGGGAACUGCAUUUGUGACUGCAUGGCUAGAGUACGGUAGAGGGGGAUGGAAUUCCGCGUGUAGCAGUGAAAUGCGUAGAUAUGCGGAGGAACACCGAUGGCGAAGGCAAUCCCCUGGACCUGUACUGACGCUCAUGCACGAAAGCGUGGGGAGCAAACAGG
rnacentral:rRNA from 1 species